rnacentral:rRNA from 1 species
UACGUAGGUGACAAGCGUUGUCCGGAUUUACUGGGCGUAAAGAGCGCGCAGGCGGUCGUUCAAGUCGAGUGUGAAAGCCCCCGGCUCAACUGGGGAGGGUCAUUCGAUACUGAUCGACUCGAAGGCAGGAGAGGGAAGUGGAAUUCCCGGUGUAGUGGUGAAAUGCGUAGAUAUCGGGAGGAACACCAGUGGCGAAGGCGGCUACCUGGACCGGUUCUGACGCUGAGGCGCGAAAGCGUGGGUAGCAAACAGG